rnacentral:rRNA from 1 species
CUUUGGGAGCUUGCUCCUGAAGAUUAGCGGCGGACGGGUGAGUAACACGUGGGCAACCUGCCUAUAAGACUGGGAUAACUUCGGGAAACCGGAGCUAAUACCGGAUCAUUCUUUUCUACUCAUGUAGGAAAGCUGAAAGACGGUUUACGCUGUCACUUAUAGAUGGGCCCGCGGCGCAUUAGCUAGUUGGUGAGGUAACGGCUCACCAAGGCCACGAUGCGUAGCCGACCUGAGAGGGUGAUCGGCCACACUGGGACUGAGACACGGCCCAGACUCCUACGGGAGGCAGCAGUAGGGAAUCUUCCGCAAUGGACGAAAGUCUGACGGAGCAACGCCGCGUGAGUGAUGAAGGUUUUCGGA